GAUGAACGCUAGCGGCAGGCUUAAUACAUGCAAGUCGAGGGGCAACAGGGGUAGCAAUAUCUGCUGGCGACCGGCAAACGGGUGCGGAACACGUACAGAACCUUCCUUUAAGCGGGGGAUAGCCCAUAGAAAUGUGGAUUAAUACCCCAUAGUAAUAUUUGGUGGCAUCAUUAGAUAUUUAAAGAUUUAUCACUUAAAGAUGGCUGUGCGGCUGAUUAGGUAGUUGGUCGGGGUAACGGCCCACCAAGCCAUCGAUCAGUAACUGGUGUGAGAGCACGACCAGUCACACGGGCACUGAGACACGGGCCCGACUCCUACGGGAGGCAGCAGUAAGGAAUAUUGGUCAAUGGACGCAAGUCUGAACCAGCCAUGCCGCGUGAAGGAUGAAGG
rnacentral:rRNA from 1 species